GAAUUCUGUAACUUGCCAAGAAGCAAUCCAUUUUGACUGAUUUGGAUAGAGGGGAAAAAAAGGGUGAAAUGGCAUAUCCACACAGACAUUUUGAGGAUCCUGCCACCAUUACAGGUUGCCCAAACAGUGGAUCUGGGAUUCAUCUGCCCUACAUUAGAUAUCUGAACUAUACAUUGAUAUAUCCCGUAAACCAAGAACCUUCAUUUAAUUGAGACAAAUACCCUGGCACAAAAGACCAAGCCUGUGCUCUUUGUACCUCUCAGCAGUUUUACACUUUUCAGAUUCCUGUGGAAAAGGCACCCGAGAGAUCUACUCUCAUCCUAAGUAAUGCAACUCCUUUGUGAAACAUUUGAAAAUAAAAGCACUGUCUUACUUGCAGUGUGCUUGCAAUGACUGCACAAUUCAGCAGCCUUGUUCCGAUCCCUGUCUUUUCUUUGCUUCACACAGACACCCUCAGCGAUUUGGCAUAAUUUCAUUUGGAAUCACACAUUCCGCUUUCCUUCGAAGUUCUCCAUGUCACAGAAGAGAAGUGGCUAACUUCUACUGCAGACACUGCUGUAGUGAAACAACUUGGUGUCUUUAAGGGGAUGUGGCCAUAUGCAUGGUAGCUAUCUGGUCACCUCUGCCAGAAUGCCAAUCCCAUCCCACAGACAGCUUCAGAAGAUAAAAAAGAAAUCCUUUUUUUCCUAAUCAGUCACUAUUUCAAACGCUCCUGCGCUCAGUCACCAUGGUCAGUUCCCCAUUCGAAGCCUUCCAUGGGGAAGAAGCACAGAGAGGAGGAUUAGAAUUCCCUGAGAGAGGGUGGGAACUGGAGAAAGAGGAAGACAAAGGAGAGAAAAGAAGAUCAAAGAGCCAGGAUCACUGGACAGCAGAAUUAUAUAGCUACCUAAAUCCUCAACUCUCUCUUCUUCAUAGACACAAGGAAUGAAAUAGCACCUAAAACCACCACAAGAAUUUUCCUUCAUCAACAUUCCCACACACAAUAAGAACACAUUCUGCACUCCAUGAUCAGGCAUUCUCACAUAUACUAGAGGAAAACAUUGAUGUUUGUGACGUGACUGGAAAUUAAUCUGUCUCAAAGAAGGUUGCAAAGGUACAUCAUGGCAUUGAGAUAGAGCUGGAAACACUCAACCCACUCUGUCUCAUCCAGGAGGAGGAUGAGGUGUGUGCCAUAUAACCUGUCCUCUACACCAUCUACUUUUGGUAUUUCCUAGCUCUUUAAUCCAGGACGUGUCCUAAGUCUUGCCCAAACAAUUAUGCUUAGGUCAGUGUUUUUAUACUAGUGGUUGUGCCUCAUUUAUGGGCUUGAUAAAGGAGCCUUGUUUCUGAGAUAAUUAGGAAGGGGUGAGCUUGUAGAGAGCAACAGGACUUAAACUCCUAGAAAAUAGCAGUUAAUUCACAACAUUCUAUGAUUAUGGAGUAGGCAUCUAAAUUAGCUGGUUGUUCAAGCACAAGAGAGAUGCUUUUUAUAUGUAUGGAUCAUUAGACAUCCAAAUGAAACAUUGCAACAGAAUGGAAAGGGGCAAAUAAACAAGAUGAAAUGCUGAUAAACAUUUAAGAGAUAUUUGUGUUCCAUAUGCCUAAAUUUGUGUAGAUGAUCUCCAACUUAUAUGACUUACUGUUCAUGUUUCUUAAGAAAUCUGCCUUCUUAAUACUGCAGAAUUUUGUAGUUAUUUUACAAAUUUACAGUGCUGACCUUAGUUAAUAUGCUAUUUUAAUUUAGAGUUUUAAGGAAAUAUACCUAAAUAAUAGCUAUAUAGCUAGAAAGUUAAUUUGCAUGGACCUAUGUGAGCAUAUACUCCACCGCAUUCUCAAUGACAGUGAAUGCAUGUGGAAAGAAGCCUUUCUCUGCUCCUUCUACAUACACAUUAAUCCCAAAUAUUGGCCAAAUAUAGCCAAAAAUAAAACUAUAUAGCAAAAUAUAGUGGAAAAAAACAUAUAUUUGAAAGAAACUCUAAAAAACCCCCACAGCCUUAUCUCACUUUUAACAGAUUUUAUGAGCAACUUCAUAACUGCUGUUUUUCUCUAGUUGCAGUAGGUCUGGUCUGUAGACUUCCAGAGAUGUACUUACAGACACCUUCUCAAAAGCUAUCAGAGACUAAAACGUCACUUCAUCUCCCAUGUCCACAUAGUAUACAUUCAAAUCCAUGCUGUGUUGAAAAGCUACAAUUGAGCAAGAAUCCUCAGAGGUAAAUGUGGAACUAAAUAUUUCAAUUUCCAAAGGAUAGGUCUGGCAGUAUAUUCUAGAACCAUCAAUUAAUAACAUGUAUACAUUAGCAGCUGGAUUCAAUAAAGGACAAUGUUUUUCUUUCCACUUAUCUACACAAGAAGCUGUACAAAUUCUAAGACAGUUCUCCCAGAAAAUAAGAUGUUAUUUUUCAUUUUUAUCAAUUCCCAAAGUAGUCUGUAAGAAGAAAAGCAGAAAGAAUACACAUUUGUGUAAUUUAAACUUACAAAAGAUGAUGGCUGUAUUUAUUUCAAAUUAAUUUUUCUUAUAGUUGUUAUCUUUCUCAUAUGAUACCUGCAAGUACUUCAUUCAUAUACAUCCCCAAGUUAAAGAGAAAUCUUUUGACAAGCUAUGCCUAGUGGCUGGGUUUAAGUGGCAGGGUUUUUGGUAGUGGGAGAGGGGGCUACAGUGGUGGCUCCCUAUGAGAAGCUUCUCAAAAUCUCCUCCAGCUCUAAGUCAUUGCCACCUCUGGCCAAGGCCAGGCCAAUUAACGAUGGUGGUCAUGUCUCUGCAAUAACAUAUUUAAGAAGGGGAACCUGAGAGGGGGUGGGAAUUUGAGGAGGAGUUACCAAAAGGACACCUGUGCGAACACCGAGGUCAGUGGAAGGAAGGUGGAGGAGGGGGUGAGGUGCAUUGGAGCAGACAGCCCCCCUCUAUCCCAUGAUGAGAUGGCAGGGCCACCCUCCUGCUACCUGUGGAGGUCACUGGAGGAGCAGAGAUUUACCUGCAGCCUGUGGACAACCCCGGGACUCUGUGGGAAGAAGAGGACCCCACUGUUAUAGAUCGGUGCUGGGAGGACUGCAACACAUGGGGGUGACCCACGCUGGAGCAUCUCCAGAAGAAUGUAUCCUGUGAGGAGGACUCACGGCAGAGAAAGUUUGUGGAGGGCUAUCCUGUGAGAGGGACACCACGCGGAGCAGGAGAGGAAUGCAAAAGAGUGUUUCCCCCCCAGCUUGGAGGAGGAAGCAGCGGACUGACUGCAUCCCCCAUCCCCUGCCCCUGUGCUGCUGGGAAAGGAGAUAGAGAUAUUGGGAAGAAAACUGAGCCUGGGAAGAAGGAAGGGGUGGUGGGAGGUGUUUUCAAGAUGUGGCAAUGCUUCUCACAGUCCUAUUCUGUUUAAGUAUUGGUUUUGUUAGUGUUUGAAUUAAAGUUUUCUUCCCCUAA